rnacentral:rRNA from 1 species
UAGGGAAUCUUCCGCAAUGGACGCAAGUCUGACGGAGCAACGCCGCGUGAGUGAAGAAGGAUUUCGGUUCGUAAAACUCUGUUGUUAGAGAAGAACAGCGCAUAGAGUAACUGUUAUGCGUGUGACGGUAUCUAACCAGAAAGCCACGGCUAACUACGUGCCAGCAGCCGCGGUAAUACGUAGGUGGCAAGCGUUGUCCGGAUUUAUUGGGCGUAAAGCGAGCGCAGGCGGUCAAUUAAGUCUGAUGUGAAAGCCCCCGGCUCAACCGGGGAGGGUCAUUGGAAACUGGUUGACUUAAGUGCAGAAGAGGAGAGUGGAAUUCCAUGUGUAGCGGUGAAAUGCGUAGAUAUAUGGAGGAACACCAGUGGCGAAGGCGACUCUCUGGUCUGUAACUGACGCUGAGGCUCGAAAGCGUGGGUAGCAAACAGG